AGUCUGGUGCCAGCAGCCGCGGUAAUUCCAGCUCCAAUAGUGUAUAUUAAAGUUGCUGCGGUUAAAAAGCUCGUAGUUGGAUUUCGGAACGCACAGAGUCAGAGCCCAUCCUUAGGGGUGCGUGCUCGACCCUUGCUUCCUACCUUCCGGUAACGCGUGGUUCCUCUUCGCGGGGGAGUUACGAGGUUCCGGAUCGUUUACUUUGAAAAAAUUAGAGUGUUCAAAGCAGGCGUAACUUGCAUUCGAAUACAUUAGCAUGGGAUAAUAGAAUACGACUUUGGUCUUAUUUUGUUGGUUUCUAAGGCCGAAGUAAUGAUUGAUAGGGAUAGUUGGGGCCGCUCGUAUUGAGUUGUCAGAGGUGAAAUUCUAGGAUUUACUCAAGACGAACUAAUGCGAAAGCAUUCGGCAAGGAUGUUUUCAUUAAUCAAGAACGAAAGUUGGGGGAUCGAAGAUGAUCAGAUACCGUCGUAGUCUCAACCAUAAACUAUGUCGACCGAGGAUCCGGUAGCGUUACAUGGAUGACCUUCCAGGCACUCUGUGAGAAAUCACAAGUAUUUGGAUUUCGGGGGGAGUAUGGUCGCAAGGCUGAAACUUAAAGGGAUUGACGGAAGGGCACCACCAGGAGUGGAAUCUGCGGCUUAAUUUGACUCAACACGGGAAAACUUACCAGGUCCGGACACAGUGAGGAUUGACAGAUUGAGAGCUCUUUCUUGAUUCUGUGGGUGGUGGUGCAUGGCCGUUUUUAGUUGGUGGAGUGAUUUGUCUGGUUAAUUCCGUUAACGAACGAGACCUUGACCUACUAAAUAGUUGUGCGAACUCGGUUCUUCGAGCUAACUCUUCGGGGGAGGUGAGGGAACCGUCAACGUUCGCAAAAGACUUCUUAGAGGGACUCUUCGCAUCUCUAGCGAAUGGAAGUUUGAGGCAAAAACAGGUCUGUGAUGCCCUUCGAUGUUCUGGGCUGCACGCGCGUUACACUGACGCAUGCAACGAGCUUUAUUCCUGGCCCGACGGGGUUGGGUAAUCUUUUUAAAGUGCGUCGUGAUGGGGAUAGAACAUUGCAAUUAUUGUUCUUGAACGAGGAAUUCCUAGUAAUUGCAGGUCAACAACCUGCGAUGAUUACGUCCCUGCCCUUUGUACACACCGCCCGUCGCUCCUACCGAUGGUUGAACCGAUGAGGACUCGGGACAUUUGGGGUUCCCGGUCGGCCGCAAGGUCGAUCGCCCUAGGUGAAACUUGUUCAAAUCUUUUUAACUAGAG
rnacentral:rRNA from 1 species